AUUUAGUUUUGCUCAUUUCAAUUCUACUUAAUAUCUGUUCCUUUCUGCAAGCCACAACCGUAUCUCUCAAGGAUAACAAGUGUUUGCAAAAAGAUGGAACAAGACAAUGCUGCACAAGUUUUUAUGAGGAAAAUAAUACAUGUCAUGAAUGUAUAGGAUCAUAUGGUGUUAAUUGCUCACAUCCUUGUAAGCCGGGGUUUUUUGGCCCAAAAUGCGCUUUUGAAUGUCCAUGUUUGGAAAGCAACUGUGAUAAAAUACAAGGUUGUC